AGGGGAGGCCUCGGUUCAGAGCAGUAUGGAAGUUUGGUGAUUAAAAAUGUUUGGAUAUUUUCUUACAGCAUUUCUUCUCAUUCAUGAAUAUCUAUUUGUUAGGGACUGUAUGUUUCAACAUUAUCUUCUUUCCUGCAUUUAUCACCAUUAUCUGAAAUAGAGGUGGAGCUACACUUUAUACUCUCCUGUCAGAGUUUACAGGGCAAGUGUGACUGGCCCCUCAGCUUCAUUGGAACCUGACCUGGAAGAAAUGAGCGUCAGCGACCAGCCCCUACUGUCCUUACAUACUGGCUGCACCCUGGUUUUCAGCUUUAAAAAUAGGGCUAAAAAGAAUGUCAAAUAUGCAAGUUAAUACUAUUAGAAA
rnacentral:lncRNA from 1 species